rnacentral:rRNA from 1 species
AUUGAACGCUGGCGGAAUGCUUUACACAUGCAAGUCGAGCGGCAGCGCGGGGGCAACCCUGGCGGCGAGCGGCAAACGGGUGAGUAACAUAUCGGAACGUACCCCGUCGUGGGGGAUAACACAGCGAAAGCUGUGCUAAUACCGCAUACGACCUGAGGGUGAAAGCGGGGGAUCGCAAGACCUCGCGCGAUGGGAGCGGCCGAUAUCGGAUUAGCUUGUUGGUGAGGUAAAGGCUCACCAAGGCGACGAUCCGUAGCUGGUCUGAGAGGACGACCAGCCACACUGGAACUGAGACACGGUCCAGACUCCUACGGGAGGCAGCAGUGGGGAAUUUUGGACAAUGGGGGCAACCCUGAUCCAGCCAUUCCGCGUGAGUGAAGAAGGCCUCGGUUGUAAGACGU